rnacentral:snRNA from 1 species
AAAUCUUCUCAGCCUUUUGGCUAAGAUCAAGUCUAGUAUCUGUUCUUAUUAGUUUCAUACCUGAUACAUAGGCAGCUCUA